rnacentral:rRNA from 1 species
CUAGCUCGUCUCGCCGUUCCCCCCAACACCGCCCUUCGUUCCGUCGUGUGACUCUCACUCCGCUCCCGACAUGGCAAAAAAGACCCCCAGCCCUCCGCCGAGGGCAAGAUCUCGCCGGGGCGCGGCGCCGACGUCGCCAACCCCAGCCGCCGCUCUGAGCCCUCCUUUCUCCCCUGCCCCGCUGCGCACCCGCCUUGGCGCUGCUGCUGUUGCUGCGGCGGCGGCCGCCGCCGCCGCCGCCUCCUCAUCCCCCGUCGAGCACCCAUGCGUCACGCUGUGUGAAUGGUGGCCGGUGAGGGUGGAAGGGGAAGAGCGGAAGCUUGCUGUUUCCGGCUUCACUGAAAGGAAUGACGCAUUCACUUCUGCACCCAUAGCACAUCGUUAUGAGCCUCUCACUCUCCAGGAUGAAGGUGGGGUUGUGGUGCUCCUUCAUGGUUCAAUUAACUUAUUGCGAAUGCGUGAAAAUGGAUUUUCUGUGCAGAUAUGCGAACAAUUCAUGAUUGGAUUUCCGUUCUGGUGGGAGACUUGGGAUUCGCACAUGGAGUCUUACCCAAACUGUUUUAUUGAUCCACGAGAGGGUUCAGCUCAGUUUUACCUGGAGAAAUUCCAGCUAGGCAAUUUUAUUCAAAAGUUUGGACCCUCGUUCAUCGAGGACCUUCUUAAUAAUGCUAAAAAUUUCCCAAUCGACCAUCUUGAUGCAUUCACAGAGAGUUCAAGAUUCCAGGAAUACAUCUGUGGAAAUGAUGCUUCAACCAAGGAAAAUUCUGCUGCUUCAGAUGAUGCCAGACCCGCAACUGUAGCUAAUGUGGAAAUAGGCUUGACUGCGAGCAGCAUUUCACAAGAAAGAGAUCAUGUGGACAUUGAGUGUAAUGUAUCUCUUGCUCCUGCAGAAACAUAUACUGGUGAUGAAACUUGCAAAGAGGCAGGAAAUCAGAAUGACACUAUGCAUCCAGAUGCAAGGGAAGAAGAUGCUGGUAGCCAUCUUUUCAACUCCGAUUGGACUUGCACUAUGUGCCCUGAUCAUAUGCCCAAUGACUCGGAAGGUGGAAAUGCCACCAGUGCUGAAAAUGCCACCAUGUCCCCUGAUAAUAUGCCCAACGACUCGGAAGGUGGAAAUGUCACCAGUGCUAAAAAUGCCACCAUGUCCCCUGAUCAUAUGUCCCCUGAUAAUAUGCCCAAUGACUCGGAAGGUGGAAAUGCCACCGGUGCUGAAAACUCAGUAGAACUGCUGGCUAAAUAUCCUUUAGCCAUAGUACCGCCUGAAAAUGCUAAUUGCUGCUCAGAGAUUCCUGGUGCUUCUCAAAGUGUUGAACCCUCAAGUUAUCAAAGUACUCCAGUGGCCUCAUUGAAGAAUCAACACUGCUUGGAAACAACUGAGCACAUCACAUUGACUCAGAAGGCAGUAUCAAAUGAAGAUACACCAUCUUCAAUUCACUCAGAUGUGCAAUCUCAGGAAAAAACUGUAGGUUCAGCAGAGAAGCGAAGAUCUGCAAAGCAAGUGUUGGAGCGUCCUACUAGAUCGCCAAUGACCAGAACUUCAGCUCCAUAUGGGCAUAAAUCUCGGCUUACUCGUUCUAGGGCCCAGUCAUUAUCUAUUUCCACACCCGAGUGUCUCAAAAUGAGAAGAACCAAAUCAGGACGAGUGGUAGUACCCCAAUUGGAUCCAGGAAGCAGUAGGAUUGUCUAUGACAACAAUGGGUUGAUUUCAGGCGUCGCUCCUGUGACUGGGAACAAGUCAGUGAAACCUGCAAGGAAGACAAGGGGGCCUCUCUGAGUGACCUCUUGGACUGUCCAGAAGCUAACAACCUGGAAUUUCGACAUGGAAGUCCCAAGGCACCGGCACCAGCACCAAGCGGUCGGCGGCAGUACUUGUACAAUGGGAGAUGCUUAGUGAGGUGCUUAGAAAAAUAAACUGAUUUUUUUUAAAGCACUGAUGCCUAUUUCUACAGGAGAAACGCUUAGUUAAGCGUCUAUCCUGUACAAAUAAGCACCGGUGCCUAAGGAAAGCCUGGUUUAUUUCUCUAAGCAUCCUCCCUAAGCACCUGCAUUGUACGAGGCCUUAGAUCCACUUGUUUGUACGGUGGAACAUCUCUGCUGGAUAUUUGCUGAUUAGAACCUUGUAACAGCAGAUGUGGGCAGCUUUUAUUUCCAUUUUGUGUGUCCCAUGCCCUAACUAACUAAAUCUUACUGGAGUGCCACAAACAUGGCAUGUCUUGCUCUUAACUAGUACUCCCUCUGUAAACUAAUAUAAAGUGAUCUAAACGCUCUUAUAUUAGUUUAUGGAGG